UACGUAGGGUGCAAGCGUUGUCCGGAAUUAUUGGGCGUAAAGAGCUCGUAGGCGGUUUGUUGCGUCGGCUGUGAAAUCCCGAGGCUCAACCUCGGGUCUGCAGUCGAUACGAGCAAACUAGAGUGUUGCAGGGGAGACUGGAAUUCCUGGUGUAGCGGUGAAAUGACGCAGAUAUCAGGAGGAACACCGGUGGCGAAGGCGGGGUCUCUGGG
rnacentral:rRNA from 1 species